rnacentral:tRNA from 1 species
GAGCCGGUCGCCUAGCACGGUUGGGCAACGGACUUUUAAUCCGUCCUGCGCCGGUUCAAAUCCGGCCCGGCUCA